rnacentral:misc_RNA from 1 species
UCUGGCUUAUUGCCAAGCGGUCUCGCUAGAGUGCCCAACUUAAUGCUGGUAACUAGCGACGAGGGUUGCGCUCGUUGCGGGACUUAACCCAACAUCUCACAACACGAGCUGACGACAGCCAUGCAGCACCUGUCACCGGGUCCCCGAAGGGAACCCCUGCUUUCACAGGGUAGCCCGGGAUGUCAAGCCUAGGUAAGGUUCUUCGCGUAGCAUCGAAUUAAACCACAUGCUCCACCGCUUGUGCGGGCCCCCGUCAAUUCCUUUGAGUUUUAAUCUUGCGACCGUAUUCCCCAGGCGGGAUACUUAAUGCGUUAGCGACGUCACUGAAGCGAUUAGGUGCUCCAACGACUAGUAUCCAUCGUUUAGGGCGUGGACUAC